rnacentral:rRNA from 1 species
CUCUCUAGUGACCGAUAGUGAACCAGUACCGUGAGGGAAAGGUGAAAAGUACCCCGGAAGGGGAGUGAAAUAGAACUUGAAACCGUGUGCUUACAAGUAGUCAGAGCCCGUUAAUGGGUGAUGGCGUGCCUUUUGUAGAAUGAACCGGCGAGUUACGAUUUGAUGCAAGGUUAAGCAGUGAAUGUGGAGCCGUAGCGAAAGCGAGUCUGAAUAGGGCGUUGAGUAUUUGGUCGUAGACCCGAAACCAGGUGAUCUACCCUUGGUCAGGUUGAAGUUCAGGUAACACUGAAUGGAGGACCGAACCGACUUACGUU